UCGAACGCGAAAGUCCCGCAAGGGAUAAGUAGAGUGGCAAACGGGUGAGUAACGCGUGGGUGACCUGCCUUCGAGUGGGGGAUAACGUUUCGAAAGGAACGCUAAUACCGCAUAACAUCCUGUCUUUUAAGAGAUGGACAUCAAAGCCUGGGACCGUAAGGCCAGGCGCUUGACGAGGGGCCCGCGUCUGAUUAGCUAGUUGGUGGGGUAAUGGCUCACCAAGGCAACGAUCAGUAUCCGGCCUGAGAGGGCGGACGGACACACUGGGACUGAGACACGGCCCAGACUCCUACGGGAGGCAGCAGUGGGGAAUUGUUCGCAAUGGGCGCAAGCCUGACGACGCAACGCCGCGUGGAGGAUGAAGAUUUUCGGAUCGUAAACUCCUUUCGAUCGAGACGAAUAGCCUUCGGGUUAAUAGCCUGAGGGAAUGACGGUACCGAGAGAAGAAGCCCCGGCUAACUCCGUGCCAGCAGCCGCGGUAAUACGGGGGGGGCAAGCGUUGUUCGGAAUUACUGGGCGUAAAGGGCUCGUAGGUGGCCAACUAAGUCACACGUGAAAUCCCUCGGCUUAACCGGGGAACUGCGUGUGAUACUGGAUGGCUUGAGUUUGGGAGAGGGAUGCGGAAUUCCAGGUGUAGCGGUGAAAUGCGUAGAUAUCUGGAGGAACACCGGUGGC
rnacentral:rRNA from 1 species